rnacentral:rRNA from 1 species
GACGAACCGUGCGAACGUUGUUCGGAAUCACUGGGCUUAAAGGGCGCGUAGGCGGGCUGCCAAGUCUGGGGUGAAAUCCCACGGCUCAACCGUGGAACUGCCUCAGAUACUGGCGGCCUCGAGGGAGGUAGGGGCAUGCGGAACUAUGCGUGGAGCGGUGAAAUGCGUUGAUAUGCAUAGGAACUCCGGUGGCGAAGGCGGCGUGCUGGACCUCUUCUGACGCUGAGGCGCGAAAGCCAGGGGAGCGAACGGG